GUGGAACUGUCGUCUCUAACUGCUGUCAUUACUCUUUGUCGUUCAACUGCCUUCAACUGGGCUUCUUGAAUCAUAGAAUGUGAUAAGAUUACUCAAUAAUUGCUUUAAUAACUGCUAUUCUGGACAAUCAUAAUAUUUUAUGUUUGCUAAGAUUUUGGGCGAUUCGAAGGUUUGGACGAGAAAGGGAUCAUCGCUUUGGGCGACCGUAAGGCACUUCAUUCGCUCAGAUUUUGGGCGUCUUGCAAGUUUGGGCGAUGAUAUCACUGUGUUCGUGGGUUUUCACUGCAUUUAUCAAUAAUUCUGUUUGGAUCUUUAUCCUGGACUCCCCAAUUAGGCUUCACUCUUUGAACUAUUUGAUUUGGGUUACACUUUUAGUGUGUCAACAACAGGCAAUAUCAAGGAACUGUUCAUUUGCGAGUUUCCUCUCAGACUUUACCGUUCCUCCACUGUUCAUUUGUGAGUUCUCCAUUUCACACCCAAUGUGGGUAAAUUACUGUUCACAAGCGAGUUUUACGUUGUUCGAAUACUGUUCACUAAAUAUCUCAUCACCUUGGUUACCAACUAAUUUAGGAUGAAGUAACAAUUAGAUUUGUUAUGGUUUAUUCAUUUCAAUUGUUGAAUCUGUGAUUUUUUUUUGUUCGAUCUUUUGAGAAAUCGAACUCAAAAUAGCUAAAGUACGUUCCUUUGCUGUUCUUGUUGUGUAUUAUUUGUUCAAUUUGUUGCUCUUUUGUAUAAUUUUUUCCUGCUCUCACCAUUUUCCUGUUGUCAGUUCCAACUCUUAAAAGCGCAAAAUGGAGGGUAGUGGUAUUACCAGUGAAGCACAGGGGACUGCUUCCCGAUGCGUACAAUUAAGGAUGGUGUUCACUUCCAUACUGCAUCUGUACUAGCAGAGGUUAAAAGGAUUACUUCCUUUUACGGUGAUGUUCUUUCUGCAAUUAUCAUGGAUGUAGAGCAGUGCAAAGGUUGCUAAAACUAAAGUUCAUAGGGAAUAUGAUUGGGUUUGGAAAGUGUCACAGUAUCGGAGUGUUUGAUUUCGAGAGUGGGAGUAUUGGGCCAAUUGACAGUUACAAUGGUUAUUCCCAUAUGUUUUCGCUGCCACCUGCUUUGUUUGUUCUAAUGUGUUAUGUUGAGGAAUUUAUGUGUUUUUCCUUUUUGUUUUUUAGGUGAAAUAUGUUUUACAUAUAUAUUCCAGUUAGUCGUUUUGGUCUUACUUUAUUUCAGGUUGCUGACUAUAAUAUUAUAGUUGCACAACAAAGCAUAGUUUUGUUGACAAGAUCCCAAAAAGGUAUUCCGAAGCAUACUACGGUAAAUAAAAUAUAUGUUGCAUUUAUAGUAAAGUGCCUUAAAACCAUUUAUGUUAAUGAUCCGAUUCAUUCCAUACUGUAUCUGCAGUGCAAGCAAGAAUCUAGAUAUUUCUAUCAAACUUGGAUGCUAAACCAAGGCUGGAAUGUAUAUAUAAUGCAGAUGUAAGGGUAAAAAAUUUGUAACCUCCAACUCAGCAUUUUAUGAAGAGAAAGAGAUACCCUUGCUUUUGAUGGGCAUAAUAGAAUGUUCCGAGUUCAAAGACUGGUUUUUUAAAGACUCUUUUUGUAGAAGAUUGACUUUCUAAAUACUCUCUUCUCGUAGAUAAUAAACAUACCCAUAAAGUUUUUUCCUCUUCUGUGGAAUCCUUUAUAACAUAUUAAGUUCAGUAGGAAAACAAUUUAAUGUAUAUAAAUAAAGGACACCCCUGAUGCUCCCUUUAUUAAAAUCACUUAACUUGUGGAGGGGUUAAAAGAAGAACAUAGCACAAAGAACAUGGGCAGUGGGAAUAAGAGACACCAUUCUACACCAUAAGAAAAUCAAUUAUUUCAUUGAGUAUGAAUCGCCACAAAUGUGUAUUUGCAGGUUUCUUCAUUAGUGUACUACACACUUUAUCUAUUGACAAUAUCCUUCUUCGUUAGAGUGAAAAAUUUAUGGCUGCAGGUGAAUGUAGAUGUGACAUUGAGGAUAAAUCGCCACUGGUGUGUUUGCGUGUUUCUUAUUUUGUUUUCUUCAUUGUUUAUUAGGGAUUAAAAUCAUGAAACAAGUGAUGCCAACAAAAAUAUGAUAAUCCAUGGUCCUAAUAGAAUUAUUAGUUGCUUUUCAGAUUCUCCAUAUAGGACACCUUACAUCAUGCACAAAAAAAUAAAAAUACAAAUACAAAUAGCAAUUAAUAGGAAGAAAGAAAGUUGCAGUGGAAUUGGCAAGGAGUCACAAUUGCUUUUGGGAAUAUCUUUUAUUUUUUAAACUUUGCUCUAAAUCUAAUAUACCACCUGGUUAUUAACUCAAUGGCAUUAAGCUUUGCAGGCUUAUGUCGUGCUUCUUUCUCCACAGUAAUUUGUGUCAAGCUUUAUGCUAAUUUCUAGUUUUACACUCCAAGUGCAGCUCUUAGAGAAGUGAUGGGCUUUAUUCUAUUGAAAAGAAUUUUGAAUUUCAUAUUGAAAAAUCUUUUUAUAAAACUUUCCUUUCUGAUCUCGCAAAGUAUAAACUGCAUAAAUCCACUAUUAGAAUUUUUUACUCAAGACAAUUAAAUAUCAGGUCAAUGAUUCAAGGAAAAUUUGCUCGAAAAUUGGCUCUUGGUCUACAAUUAUGCCUUUCUUCUUCUACAAUGUAAUCUUACAUGAGUUAUUUGUUAUGUGACUAACCAAUGUCCAAAUUCUGAAGUGGAUUCCAGUAUAUCUGUAAAUAAUUUUUAUCGAAUGGUUUUGGUGAAUAAUGAGGUGCACUUGUUAUUACAUUUUAACCAAUACAGAGUAUGAUUAUUUUCCUUUACUGUUUCAUAGAUUUCAACCAACAUAGAAUAUAAUUAUUUUCCCUUCACGAUUAUUCCACUUUAUGCUCACCAUCUCUAGGACUUGCUUUGUCCAAACAUCUUAGUAGUUUGUAAAUUAUAUGCAAGAUAAGAUGCAUCUACUUUAUAGUUUAUAAUUAGCUGAAACGAGCUUGUCCAAGAUGGGAACUACUACUGUCAAAGAUAUAAAUGAAUGAACUGGAAAUCCGAAACUUCUUAAGAGUAUUCAUUCAUGUGGUGGUCAUUGGUUUAUGUGCUAUGCGCCUUUUUUUUUUUUUUAAAGAGUUUCCUUUAUCUCCAUACAUUUAUGUUAGGUUAGUAAAGUUUGAAAAGGAUUGAAAUGCAUAUCGUACCUUAUGUGACUCUCCAUCAAAUUAUCUAUUGUUCUGUUCCAAUAAAACCUUGAGAAGUGAUAUUCUUCAAUGGAAAAUUGGUGAAAUUAUGUUAAGUCAUUCUUGUCAUUACUAUCGUCUAGAACACUUGUCCUGCCUCCAAAUUAUUGAUGCAUUGAAAUGUGGACAUCUUCGCUUUUUUGAGCUAUUUUUCUUUCAUUAUAAAUUUGUGUCUGCAAAGAAGUCAAUCUGCCCCUUCAUGAUAUUCUACUGAUUUCUGUGUAGAUGAUUGAAUCUCUUUUGCAUUUGUUUAAGGACGAACUCAAGCUCAGAACUUAAAAUGAUUCUCUUGCAGAAUCGAAAUCUGAUAUUAUGGUCAAGAUUGGUCUGAGAAAAGAUUCUCACUCAUUUGCUAAGGCUUGUGCUGCUAUUUUUCGAAGAAAAUGGCACCCUGGGGACACUAUCUCUAGCAGUGAUUUGGAGCUGCUCUUGAUAUCUGAUGCAGCACAAGUAUCAAACUGCCUUGUUUAUUUAGCCAUGAGGGCUUUGGUGUCAUCCUCUUCACAUGGCUCUCUCUGUAUUUAAAAAUAAAUGUUUGAAUUUUUAUUUGGUGUAAAAAAUGAUUACUUACAAGAGAUAGCAGAUGAGAGUGUCUAUUUUUUGUUAUUAAUCCGUUUACCAGCUUUCAACAACUCAUUCAUCAUGUUGGCAUGUGUAGCAGGCUGAUAAUUAUGAGAAAGUGUUCUCCCACAGGAAUUUCUUUGGGGCCAUUUGUAGUCAUUUGGCCUUGACUUUCUAAAACACAUCAGCAUGAUAGCUGUAUAUCCAAAGGGAAUGGGAUCCUCGAUAAGAAGGUUAUAUGUGCAGGGGAAAGAAAUCAAUGGUGCUGGCAUUAAUUCGAGUUUUGCUAUCCACCAGGAUGUUCAUGGCAGAACUACAGAAGUUGCCCUUGGAUUGUUAGCUGUCCUUGGUUCUCUUUUCACUUUUGCCACUACUUUCGAGCAGGAGUACAACAGUGAUAUUCUUGGGGAGAGAGGGGAGAGAGGUAAGAGUGGUUUUUAAUAUCACUAAUUUCUUUUCUGCUUGAUGAUGAUAGCUGUGCAUGGUAUUGUAGAAUAUUGUUCAGAAGGUAUACUGAAAAUGGAAUUGGUGAGGAUCUUGCCUACAACAUUGUGGAGUGCAUAACAUGAAUUAUUUCUUGGACCAUAUGAAUAAACGUUAGUUUUAGUAGCAUAAUUUUUUCAGUAGGUAUCUACUCUUUUUUUAUUUUUGUUUUUGCAUACUUUAUUAACCCUUUCCACUACUUUUUGUGCUUGAUGUAUCCCCUAAUUAAAUAUUUAUGUUGUAUAUUGUGACGGGGUAUGCUGGUUGUCUACAAUUCAUUGACUGAAGAUAGCAAAAAAGGACUUUGAGGCUGCAUAUAGAAACUUUCUUAGCAAUUUGAAUUCUGAUGUUAAAGAAUACGUCCUUAUGCCGAGCCAAAUCAUAUUAUAUGCAUCACAUGAAGAUGGGGAUGGAGUUACACUAACAAAAUCUACCUCCCUCAUGUUCUGCAAGACUCUUAUUGCUUCUGACAGCAGUAUCCAUAGGGGAUUUUUGUCCCUUGUAGGGCUACUGAAGAUUGUUUCCUGCCUCUGGUUUGACAUUCUUCUAGUCUUCUAGCAUCUAAUUGCACUUGAUAGGUCAUAUUCAAGGGAAGUUUCCUAUAAAUUUUGUGCUACGUUUUUUCUAAUAGGAUUAUCAUGAGCAGAGGCCCUCCUAGGAGCUCAUAGCUAAAGACCUAUAUGGCGUUCAAUGGAAAUUCCUUCACAUUUAUAUAGGCCAUCCAAGGCAGCAUUUGCUCACUACUAGAUGGAGUAUAUUCGUUAGCCAAAAGAAUCUUGUAUCGGGGAUGCAGUUCUCUUUCGGCGUUGCACAUAUAAAUUCCAUUAUUGUAGAGCCAUAUGUUAAAAGUUUAUAGUGGAUGAGUUAAGGCUAUAUAUGCUGACCUAUUGGGGAAAAGUUAGUUUUCGAAAGAAAAAUAUCCUGAAGAAUGUAAUUACAUAAGUAUGUUAAGAAGCGAGGAAUUAAAUGAAGCGAACCAAAAUUCAAAAUCAAUACUUAAUCCCGCUUUUCUCCCUUCUAUAGCUCUAAUGCUUUGUCAAGCAAGAGAGCAUACAUUAUACACAGUUGUAAUAUUGAGUUGAGGAUGUGAUUCAUAGGAAUCUGACACAUUGAACACACUAACAUCAUGGGCAAAUGACUGGUUUUUUCCUUAAAAAAGGCACUGGGGAGUACUAUCCAUUUUUGUCGUGUUCACAAUGUAAUCCCUUAUUGUUCAUUAACUGGUUCCAUUAAAUAUAUGAACUAUAAAAUGGCUUAUUCUCUCUCUCUCUCUCUCUCAAAUGUACAUAGAACCCCCAAAAUAUGGAAUCCUUAGAAGACCCGUGAAUGGAAGAACAACAAUCGACGUUGGAAUGGAUGGGGUGGCCAUCAUCAACCUUCAUCACUCUCUUUUUCUUCAUCACCCAACAGCAAACGUCGCUAUUCCCGUUCAUUUGUGGUGCUGCUUUUCAUGAUUUUUUAUUUGUCUCAGUGACUUUCUGGUGAUUUUGGUGUUUUUCAUCAUUAACGUGGCCAAUCGGGCUGACCCGGAUGGCCCAAAAAAUGACAUCACUAGCGCUGUAGAUCAUCAUCAGCAGCAGUCUUCCUUUAAUCAGAAGUCAACGAAGCCAGCUGACCAAAAUUUUCAUUUGAUGGUUCAGAAAAUAUCUCCUCUGCAAUCCAACAGUCAGUUGUACUGUAUAAAUGGAAAUGAGUCUCAAAGGCUAAUAUUAAUAGCAGUAAUAACUAGAGUCAUAAGAAAAUGAACAGUGAAGAUGUUGGGGGUGAGGUGUUUAAAAGAGAGAUGAGGGAUUUGGAGAAAAUGUUGUCAAACUUGAAUCCAGUGGCUGAGAAAUUUGUGUCGCCGUCACUUAGGACGGGGUACCAUAGGCUGGUGGUGCCGGUACCACAAGCCGCAGGGCACUAUGGGCUAAGGGUGAGUAUCUAAACGAACCAAUAGCUGCAAAAUUGUUCGCCCAAUUGAAACGGUCUAAAAUUUUGCUGCUUUCAAGGGCUAAGAAACGGUGUCUCUUUCUGCAUCAAAAUUGUUGAUUAGUGAAAAAAAGGCUUAAGGAUAAAAUUCUCGCCAAGUGGCCCAAAGGUUAGAUUGCUUCUUUGAAUUUUUUUUCAUUUAUUUGUUGAUUGAAGAAUUGACAAAUACUUGGAGUUUAAUUGUAAAUGAUAAAAUUUUAGUAAUUGUGGUACACAUGUGAAUCGCAGUAUUUAUGUAAAUAAAGCUUUUUGUUCAGUCAGCAAAAAUGCAACUAAAGAAUUGCCACAUAGCAUUUUCAUGAUACUUUUACUGGAGAGGAGAAUAGUAGGAGUUAUGUUGCAUUUUCAUUUUCAUGUUGUUCACUUAUUUGAGCUGAUAAAACAAUUCGUUUAUGGAAAUUGGGACUUGAUCAAUGCUAAGGAAUUUAUUCGCAUAAUAACUAUGGUAAGCAUUUGAUGACUUCAUUGCUUUACUUAAAGCAUGUUUGGCUAAGAUUGAAAAUGUUUUUCUGCCUAAUAUGCUUAGAUAUGCUAUUUUUUUCUUGCUUCUAAGUUAAAAAAGUUACUUAUUUACUUAUAAGUAAAUCUUUUAAGCUUAGCCAAAAAAAAUUGUUAGGGACUGUUUAUUAACAAAACUUCCUAAACUGUGCACGUUAUUUAUGUUUUACAUGUUCGUUGUUGAGAUUCUAAUUUAGUUAUAAGUUGAUGUUCUUGAUUUGUAGCUAAAUAAUUAUCAAACUUGCAUGGGCCUUCUCAUUCUAGAAAAGGAGGAGUGGGUUUUCAGUUACGAACAAGCUAAAAUUGCUAUUAGUUCUGCUGAAUUGAAGCUUAAGUGCGAAAAAGCUGCUCAUGCAUCUGAUUUGAUAGAUGCCAGGAAGCGGGAAGAUAGUCUGAAAAAGGCUGUUGGAAUUGAGAAAGAAUUUGCUAAAAAUGUAUUAUUUUGUGAGGUUUUGCCUUCUAUUUUUAUGAUGUGUAUGGUCCUUGUCAUAGUUUCUAAUCUGGUAAACUUAUGUAGAUUGAAAAUUCAUUUGAUGAGAUGCGUGCAGAAUUGGCUGAUGCAAAGGUUGCAACAGAGACUAAACUAGCCAUGGCAUGAAAUGUGAUUGAAAAUGCUCAAAAGAAGUUCAUGGAGGUAGAGCAAAAUAUGACGGAGAAUGUGACUAAUGGAUGGAAACUAAGCGUGUUUAUUAUUUUUUUCCUUUCAUAGUUAUCUUUUGGACUAAUGAUGCAAUAAUGUGCUAAAGCUUAUUUUCUCAUAAUUUGUUUUGCUUAAGUACGGGCACAGAAACUACCUGAAGAGUGGACUCUAUUGAGAAGGGCGUUGUGCAACUCGUAACUUUGCAUCGUAUCAAAUGGCUUGUCAAGGAAGCGGCAGCUAAUAAAUAUUAUUCAAGGUCGCACCACGAAAAGCUUGUCAUUGUGGAUCACAACAUUUGCUUUAUUGGAGGACUGGAUUUGUGCUUUGGCCGAUAUGACGCAACUAAUCACAAAGUAGGUGAUUUCCCUCCUUUCCUGGCCUGGAAAAGACUUCUAUAAUCCAAGAGAACUGGAACCAAAUUCUUGGGAAAAUGCCAUGAAAGACGAACUGGAUCAAGAGAAAUAUCCUCGUAUGCCACGGCACAAUGUUCAUUGUGCUUUUGGGGGGACCACCUUGUAGGGACAUUACUCGGCACUUCAUUAAGCGUUGGAACCAUGCAAAGGUUGGACUUUGAUACUUGUGUCUGACUCAUGAAAUUUUUUUCUUUAAUUAAUAUAUUUGAACAGUAACAUAGAACAGCAAGGCUCCAAAUGAACAGAAAAUACCAUUACUUAUGCCACUACACCACAUGGUUUUAUCGCAUUACAUGGGAAGAAGCAAAGAAAUAGACAUUGGUUAUAAACUUUCUGGAGUGAAUCAGCAGGAAGGAUUAUUUUGCAUUAGAGUCACUACCAGAAUAAGUCCCAUUGCUUUUACCUCCCAAAUCAAAUGGACCAAAAACUUCGGUUGUGGAACAUAAACUGAUUUUUUUAAACUCAAAUGAAUGUCAUGAAACUCCGCUAUAUGGGCAAUUUGAAGGUUUGUCAUUUGCUUAUGAGGAAUAUAAAUAUGGUAAUUCACUCGUUGAUAUGAAACCAAGUGGUUCUGUUUGGUGAUUAUGAUUGGGUAAAUACUCGAAGUGCAGCAAUAUUGGAAGCUGAAGCAUCUGAAUUGCAAGUUAAGAAUUAUUGGUGCGAUGCACUAGAGCAAGGUUCUAAGUACGUAUUGUCCAAUAACUAGCACAUGUUGGUCGGUGUACUUCAUGCCAUUGUCAAGUAAGAAUUUAUCUUUUUUUACUGCAAUUUAUUUGGUGGCACACAUUUGUGAUCUUGCUUUGAUGAAGUUUUUUGUGAGUUAUCCUUUUAAGUUUUUACCCCGUCAAGCUCGGCUCUAAAGCUGCUUAAUCUAUAGAUAUGUUGUACCAAUAUCUGUAUUCAAACUUAUGCAAAAUUUCUUGAAUGACUUCUAAUUUAUUGGGUUCCACAACAUAUUUUCCCUACUGAGAAUGGAUAUAGUUUUCUUUUCAUGCAUGGCAACAUGGUCUUGUUCAGUGAAGUUGGUUACUUGGUUUCUGACCACAAUUUGAGAACCAGCAAAAAUGGGAAUUUUAAUAGGGAUCUAAGAGAAUUUUGAUUCUAUUGCGUAGUUCAAAAUCCUUUUGAGACCAGUUAGUGCAAGUUUAGUACACUAGAUAAGACUCUAUAAUGUCUUAAUCUUUUCUAAUGUACUCUUGUGCCCCUUCUGAUACCUGUGUUCCAAACUUAGCAAAAGGCCAAUUGACUAUCAAGGUAUAGAAUCAGAAUAAAUAAGAGUUGGCUGAUGAAGCCACAUUCAUUGUAUAUUUUACUCAUUAAAAAUCAACACUGUCAAGAUUUAGUAUAUUUGAACACGUAGAUUUUUGACGUUUAAUUUCCGCACAACCAUUGAAAAGAAAGAUGAGAUAAACAGUUCAACUGAAGAACACCACCACCAACUAUACUAACAACAUUUCUAUAAUUCACAGGGGCAGUGGGUUUUGCUCCAACUUGAUUCAUCUCAUCUAGAUUAAUCUCGAAAGAAUUUUCCCAUAGGAUUAAUAACAGUUAUAACUGUGAUAUUUGUUUCCUCUAACAUAUGGUUCAGUCCCAGUUUAAUGACCUUUUUUAUCAUGCAGGUCAUUGGAAGUGUUGGCCAGUAGUCUACUGGAACAAGCCAAAAUGAAGAUAACAUUCAUAGUGCUUAUUUCAAUUGUCAACUAUGUCAUAUUAUGUAGUUCUGGAAAUGAGCUUUAUUUCAGAAAUUAUAGCUGGAUGCAGUGGCGAAUCCAGGAUUUUAAUUGAGCACGGGCGGUUGUUGAUUGUCGACGGUCGUAAUAAUAACCAAUGCCGUGAGUUGAAAUUACUUAGCCCCCAUUUGGCCCCCAUUAUUUGAUUUAUAAUCGGGAAAUAAUGUUUUUUUUAUUUUAAAAAUGAAUG